rnacentral:tRNA from 1 species
AGGGAAUUAGUUUAAUGGUAAAAUUUCGGUCUCCAAAACCGCGGUUAAGUGUUCGACUCACUUAUUCCCUGCCA